UACGUAGGGUGCGAGCGUUAAUCGGAAUUACUGGGCGUAAAGCGUGCGCAGGCGGUUCGUUAUGUCUGAUGUGAAAGCCCCGGGCUCAACCUGGGAAUGGCAUUGGAAACUGGCGAGCUUGAGUGUGGCAGAGGGGGGUGGAAUUCCGCGUGUAGCAGUGAAAUGCGUAGAGAUGCGGAGGAACACCGAUGGCGAAGGCAGCCCCCUGGGCUAACACUGACGCUCAGGCACGAAAGCGUGGGGAGCAAACAGG
rnacentral:rRNA from 1 species